UACGUAGGGUGCAAGCGUUAAUCGGAAUUACUGGGCGUAAAGGGUGCGUAGGCGGUUCGUUAAGUCUGUCGUGAAAUCCCCGGGCUCAACCUGGGAAUGGCGAUGGAUACUGGCGAGCUAGGGUGUGUCAGAGGAUGGUGGAAUUCCCGGCGUAGCGGUGAAAUGCGUAGAGAUCGGGAGGAACAUCAGUGGCGAAGGCGGCCAUCUGGGACAACACUGACGCUGAAGCACGAAAGCGUGGGGAGCAAACAGG
rnacentral:rRNA from 1 species